GUUACAAAUCCCAUGUAAGGGUCAACCUACUAAGCUGUUAUAAACUUAACUUGAACAAUCAAACGAACCAGGCAGGCAUUUAGCCAGGCCCCGAAGGAACUGGACACAGAAAAGACCAGGCUGGAUGGGGAUGAAAGGAAAGAAGCAUGGGGAAGCUCUGAAGCCAGGACGCUUCCUGGGAAGAUGUAUGUAGGGCUUUACAGUGGGAUGUGUGGGGCCCAGUCAGUGCCGAGGAGAACUGGCUGAAGGACACACGAAAAGGGGGAAAGAGGCAGAGAAGGGGGUCCCCAAAGUCCAGUGUCACCCGCAUCAGCUAUUCCUAUGAGGGUUGUGCCUAUGGCUGUAGACCCUCCUAAUAUGGUUGAAUCAUAAUGGUUUAGGACACUCACCAGGUGACAUCACUCACCAGCUGGUGUCCAGGGGCUGGAAUGGAUGCCCGAGUUAUAGGACCUGGGAACCAAGGAAGAGAGCAGGAAAGAGCGCACACCAAGAACUCCCACGGCCGCUCAGACCAGUGUCUCCCAUAAUGUCCGCAUUCCAGCCACAUCCUGCACGUGCUGAACCUCAGCCAGGAAGCCACCUUCUCCUCCCACACUCUGCUAAGGGGACUCGGACUUGCCCCUGCGCUUGGCCCAAAUGCCACCUCCCAGAGAGGCCCCCCUGCCCGUACCUACCCCCCAUGCAUUCCACUGUUCUCUGGGGUUUUUUUCUUCAGAGCACUCACUGCAAUAUUCGUGUUUUGGCAGACACAGGGAUUAAAUAUCUGAAGAGAAGGUUCUAUUAAAGAGAUGUUUCAAGAGCCUGGGAAGUCGGAAUAUUUCAUAAGCCAACUCGUAGUGACAAGACCUGCCCCCUGGAAGUGGGAGGGGAGCACUUCCCAAUCAAGCUUCAUUUUCCAAGGUUGGCAAACCUGUUAGGAACACCUCUCCCCUAUGAACACUGUCGUCUGCUGGUUUUCAAAGGAUGGCUACAUCUUACGUGAAAUGUAUUUCCAAGUUUUGCCGAGUAUUAAGAGGCUUCCAGAGAAGAAAGACAGAGCUGAUUUUUUACCACCAAAGUUCAAUGGAGGUUGAACUCUAAAAUGGAAGUCAACUAAAGACGGUAAAGUAUAUUCCAGCAGAAAUAUGCUGGGUCCUGGGAUGGGUACAUUUUGCAGGUAAUGUGAAGCUAGUGUUUGGGGAACAGAAGCCUCAGACACAAGGGGUGAAGGAUCUGCGGGGCCCCCCUAGGCUUGGCACCCGGCCGCCCCCUGCAUUCCUUUGGGAUGGCUGGGUUCAUCAGAAUCUGUAACCUCCACUGAUUCAUACCGAACAUUCAGUAAUAACCGCAGAGGCCAUUGCUGGUGUCCCCACAUUCCCAUUCCCAUCCUAAAGUAAAGCAUCCCAUUGGGAGAAUGAUAAGGAUCUAACCAGUGAGCCUUGCUCACAAGUUAGCUGACUCUGGGCUCAUUCAGUGUCAUGUAUGGUCUUCUCCCCACUGGAGAACCCGGAGAUGGUGCGCUUUCUCAAGUCCACAGUUUGGAGGAAAGUAAAUUGAGAUGAAUCAUGGUGCAAUGAGAUAGUUAAAAUGUCAUGCUCCAUAAGUUUGAAUGCAUCCUUCAAGUUCCGAGCAGUAAAAUACAACUGAACGCUGAAACAAGGAAAACAAAGAAAAAGCAGACAACUAACAAUACAAAGCCCGCUUCUUUGACAAGGAUGAUUCCUGGGGGGAACCAAACAGCACCAUCCAGGAGCCGCCCCUGAGCACACACAGGCACACGCACGCAUCCACGUUCCCUCCUGGGUUACCUUCCUUUCACUGUUUUACUGUUUUACCUAUUAUGGCUGAGGGAUGACACAUCAGAAUUUCAAGAUUUCAGAGAUGAUUAACCACUAGCUUUAUUUCUGUUUACAAAAGUAGCUGAGGGGAGCUCCCUAGACUGGCUGGGCAGAUUACAGAUCGUCCACGGUAAAUGUGGGAGCUCACGACAAUGUGUGGGGUCAGAAAAGGCUGAAGGGGAGAGAUGGAAGGGAGGCUGGGCUGGGCGGAUGUGGGAGCCGCGGAAUUGCUUCCUGAUUCCUCCUUACAGAGCCCCAUUCAUUUCGGGUAUCCAGUGACUCUGUAACUCUUCAAGUUAAAACACCCUAAGAGAAACCCAAGAAUGACCUAUUUCCCGGAAGCGGCCAAGCUAAGUUAAUAGUCUAACCCUGGGAACAGCUUUUCUCCUUUAUGUGAAACCCCAGUUACUGGGACAACCAAGAUCUUGAGGGAAUUUCCCUUCAAUAUCUGCGGUUCUUAACGUUUUUGUGGAUCAAAAACCCUUUUAAGAAUAUAGCAAAAACUAUGAUCCCUCUCUGGAGGAAAAUACUCACACCCCCAAUUUUGCACAUAUUUAGGGAUUCAUAGCAUCCCUGAAGUUGCCACAGGUAAGAACCCGUGUUCUAAAUAGUUUUUUUUUAAACAGGUGAGCAUUGAUAGAAUGCGCCCUUCCUUCUACAGUUCAAUAAAGAAAAACAUGGAGCUUAGAGAUGAGCCAGCCAUUGUAACCUUCAGACUCCAAAUAAUACUGUUCUUAAUAAUAAUAAUAUUCAAGUGUCACGUUAGUGGUCUCUGUGGACAUCUCUAUUCUUCAUGAUAAUCUUUAUUUUUAUUUAAUGUUUGGAGAUGUUAUAAAAAGUGACUACUGUUUCAAAAUGUGACCUCUGUGAGGUUUAAAACCUACUGAAUCAGAUGAGAUAUGAAAGUGUUCAAUAUAAUGUAUGGCUUAAAGCUGUGUUUUUAAAACUUUAAUAGGAAAUGUCUGACUCUUAGAUCACUGUUUCUAAAGCCUGGCAGACAGAAACAUGUCUUUUAAAAAGGCCUAAUUUAUAUACCAAACAGAGACCCAGCAGGUGGAAAUAGUGCCUUUCCCCUUCGUUUCAUGCAAACCCGAACUCUUAAUUUGCCUUGAAUAAACCUCAGCUCCAGCAAUGUUUUAACAAUUAUAACUCAUCUCAUUUUUCUUCCCCAAAGAUUACCGGGUCCUGUGCUGGGCGGUGGGUUAUUGGGAUAAACAUCACGGUCUUUGUCGGCAGGAGGCUUACAGUCUAACUGGACGACAGACGUGGUGCACACCCAGUGGCCACUGCGGUGGCUUAGACAGCAUCCAUUCCCUUCUCCCCCACUCCUGGAAGACUCCAUUUUUAUCCAGGUGUCCACCCCUCCCUCUACAUAAGCUCCGUGAUUAGGGGAAACUGACUCAUAGUGGGCUCAACCCAUCAUGGGACUCCUACACACACCCUUGUCUACAAUUCAUUCAAGUAUCUUAGCUUCAGUGAAUUAUUGUUCUGCAUUCCCUUGUAAUGCCAAGUGGUCCAGGGACGGGCAUGUGACCUAAAUUGGCCUCAUCGUACCAAAGGGAAGGACGGUCAGGGGAACGUUCUGUCUCUUCCCUCCAGCUGAAGUGCCCCAAUUGCUGUUAGCAACUGUCGUAGCCACCAUUGGGGAGUUAGUCUAAGGACAAAGCUGGGACAUCUGGGAAGGCAGAUCCGAGAAAACUAGAGAGAACUGAAGGAGAAACCCUGAUCGAACCACAUCUGAAGCCCCUAUACCUCCAAAUGUCCUUGAUGUGGAUAGAUUUUCUAUGUCCUUUGUUUAUUCUCAGUUGAGUAGGGAUUUAUGUCCUGUGCAACCUUAAAGUUUCCUGACUGUCACUGUGUCAUUAUAGCCCAGAGUCACAGUCCCCCUUGAGUGCUGUGAGAAUCUUCCGAGGAGCACAGAGGGUGGACACACUCACGCUGGUGGACCCUCUCCAAAGGAGUGGUGCUUGAGCUGAGUUUUGACGGUUGAAUAGGAGUUAGCUGGGCAGAUAUGGAAGGGAAGCGGGCUUUAAAGAGAAGAACAAGGGAACAGAGGUGUGUCUGUGCCUCCCAGGGUGCUGGGAGGGUUGUAUGCAGACAGCAAAGAGAGCCUGGGGGGAUGUUUUGACUGAAGUGACAGAGGAUGUGGGCGAGGGCCAGAUCAUGAAGGGUCCUGCGUCCAUGUGAAUGUGGACUUUCUACUGAAGGUAAUUGAGAGCCAUGGAAGGAUGAUAAGCUCUGAAGUGUCAUGAUCGAUUCUGCAUUUUAGACACAUUGCUGGUGUCCAGUGUGGAUGGAGGGUUGGAGGGGACAGCUCUGAAGAUGAGGAGCUCAGUUCAAGAGUCUCCAUUUUGCUGAAACGCUCAGGCAUCUCUUCUGACAAGGCAACAUGGGUCCUCUCUGGGUGGUGCAGGCAUGGCAUCAGUGAAGACUGGCAAGGAGCCAUCACUGUGGAUCAAAAUCGAUGCUGAGAUCCAGGUCAGGGAACAUUUGCUGAGUGUGCAUGACUCAGAACACCACACAGCAUCAUGGAAAGAGCCCUCACUCGCUGUGUGACUUUAAGCUAGUUACUUAACCUGUCUGAGGUUCCACUUCCUUGUCUGUAAAAUGAGGGCACUGUACCUGCCUUGCACAGUUCAGGUGAGUUAAGCAUCACUUGUAAGCAUUUAGAUCCUAGAGACGAGGUGAAUGACUCGCUGGCUGGCUGAGUGGCUGGAUGACAGGAGUGAAUCAUUUUCCCUACUUACACUAAGUGUGUGGCUCCAGAUUUGAAAAUGAAAGGCCCAGGACUUGGGGAGACGUUUCCACCGACGCACAAGUUGACCCCACUGCCUUCUGAGCCUGCUUCACCCCGGUGUGCACCCCCGCCACUGCCCUGCAUAGGAGGUUCCUCAGACUUUGUGCUGCUCCCUGCACGUCUUCAGGACGUCCUUUCUGCUUGGAUGCCCGUCUUCAGCUCCCAUCCUCCAACAGGCAGAUCCUCAGUCCUUCAAGCCCGGUCCAAACAUUCCUGGCUCUGGGGAACUUCAGCGCCUGGCCCCGCCCAGCAGUACGAAAGCACAGAAGCUCCUCUGCCUCGUCCGUCUUUCCGUGAAGCUCUGACUGCACCGCCACAUCGUCUUGCUGCCACCCAGAUCGCGCGCUCUUCGGGGCUGGGGGCUGAGCCCUAGUCCCGUUUGACUUUGCGUCUCUAGUGCCGACCCGGUCCAGAGCAAGAGCACAAAGCGUUUUUGUGAAUGAAUGAUAUUUCUCUCAAAUAUAUGAAUUGUGCAAUUUCGUGGAUAGCAUUUAUAUCUGGGGCAGUCAAGAUAGCUUCGGAACAGCAGGCCAACUCCAGAGGCCACGCGGCUCUCCAGUACAAGCGGCAAAUCCGUCCUUGUCUCAGUUUCCCAACUGACAAUCUGGAUCGAGCCGGAAUUUUUGAGCCCGGGGUCUCAGUCUCUGCUUUGAGACUUUCACAAGGAGUGAGGACAAGAGCUGAGUCUUACGUGGCUCCAAGUACACACCACGCACCAAGCAAACGACUCCUGUGAUCAUCAGAAUACCCCUGUGAAGUGGCUGCUGCCCUUCUUCCCAUUUCCCAGGUGAGGACGCUGAGCGCAGUGAGUUGAGCCGCCUGCCCGGUUACACGGCUGCGAGUGGGCGAGCCGAUUUCCUACCCAGGCUGUCCUCUUCAGACCCCGCAGCCUCCUCUGCAGUCCCUGAGGAAGCAGCACACUCAGCUCGCUCCGUCAGCACUCAGCCUGUGUCACAACCUGUGGGUUGGAAGGAGCACAGGGUGGCCUGUGUGGAGGUCUGUCUGCCUUGUAGGAAGCACCUGCAAUGAGCACAGAGUGCAAACACAGAGGAGCCAGUUAUUAGCAAAGCUACGGUGGGCUCACCAUGAGGAGCGAGGGGAGUCCUUCCAUGAUAUGCGAGAAUCCUGUGACACCCAGACACACCCCUGCACCCGUAGGAGUCCCACUGCCUCAAUUCACCAGGCUGCGCAUGGCGGCAUAGAGGGUAGUGUUCAGGCUCAGGUUUUCAAGUCAGAGUCCUGAACGCCAGGCCUGGGUCUGCUGUCCACUUCUUUGUGUGUGACUUUGGGCAAAUUACUUAGCCACCAUGUGACUCAGUUUCCUCAUCUGUAAAAUGCGGUGUGAAAACGUCUCCGGGUCCCAGGACAGGUACGGAAAUUAGAGGCGAUAAUUACACGGCAUUGACUUGGUAUAUCUGGCACCUACUGUGCGGUUAUAUCAAGUAAAGUUUAGCACGAAAUCCCUGCUAGAGACGGGAGAUUUAGUGACCAGGGGGGAGAGCAAACCCAAUGUCCUAACUACUCUUUUCCCCCUUCGGAUUUCCCAUUAAAAAAGAAACCCUUCAAUGAUGACUUUGGUCAAAAAGCCUUAUUUUACUACUAGUGCC
ensembl:lncRNA